UACGUAGGGUGCAAGCGUUGUCCGGAAUUAUUGGGCGUAAAGAGCUUGUAGGCGGUUUGUCGCAUCUGCUGUGAAAACCUCAGGCUCAACCUGGGGCUUGCAGUGGGUACGGGCAGACUAGAGUGCGGUAGGGGUGACUGGAAUUCCUGGUGUAGCGGUGGAAUGCGCAGAUAUCAGGAGGAACACCGAUGGCGAAGGCAGGUCACUGGGCCGCAACUGACGCU
rnacentral:rRNA from 1 species